CAGGCCUAACACAUGCAAGUCGAACGCGUGUAGCAAUACACGAGUGGCGCACGGGUGAGUAACGCGUGGAUAUCUGCCUUUUGGUUCGGAAUAACCCCGGGAAACUGGGGCUAAUACCGGAUGGUUCCUACGGGAUAAAGAUUUAUCGCCAAAAGAUGAGUCCGCGUACGAUUAGCUAGUUGGUGAGGUAAUGGCUCACCAAGGCGACGAUCGUUAGCUGGUCUGAGAGGACGAUCAGCCACACUGGGACUGAGACACGGCCCAGACUCCUACGGGAGGCAGCAGUGGGGAAUAUUGGACAAUGGGGGCAACCCCGAUCCAGCCAUGCCGCGUGAGUGAUGAAGGCCUUCGGGUUGUAAAGCUCUUUUGGCGGGGACGAUGAUGACGGUACCCGCAGAAUAAGCCCCGGCUAACUUCGUGCCAGCAGCCGCGGUAAUAC
rnacentral:rRNA from 1 species